UCNUGGCUCAGGACGAACGCUGGCGGCGUGCCUAAUACAUGCAAGUCGAGCGAAUGAUAGGGAGCUUGCUCCCUUGAUUUAGCGGCGGACGGGUGAGUAACACGUGGGCAACCUACCUGUAAGACUGGGAUAACUUCGGGAAACCGGAGCUAAUACCGGAUAAUUUCUUUUCUCGCAUGAGAAGAGAUGGAAAGACGGUUUCGGCUGUCACUUACAGAUGGGCCCGCGGCGCAUUAGCUAGUUGGUGAGGUAAUGGCUCACCAAGGCCACGAUGCGUAGCCGACCUGAGAGGGUGAUCGGCCACACUGGGACUGAGACACGGCCCAGACUCCUACGGGAGGCAGCAGUAGGGAAUCUUCCGCAAUGGACGAAAGUCUGACGGAGCAACGCCGCGUGAACGAAGAAGGCCUUCGGGUCGUAAAGUUCUGUUGUUAGGGAAGAACAAGUACCAGAGUAACUGCUGGUACCUUGACGGUACCUAACCAGAAAGCCACGGCUAACUACGUGCCAGCAGCCGCGGUAAUACGUAGGUGGCAAGCGUUGUCCGGAAUUAUUGGGCGUAAAGCGCGCGCAGGUGGUUCCUUAAGUCUGAUGUGAAAGCCCACGGCUCAACCGUGGAGGGUCAUUGGAAACUGGGGAACUUGAGUGCAGAAGAGGANAGUGGAAUUCCAAGUGUAGCGGUGAAAUGCGUAGAGAUUUGGAGGAACACCAGUGGCGAAGGCGACUUUCUGGUCUGUAACGACACNA
rnacentral:rRNA from 2 species